GUGGACAAGACUAUCAGUUCUUCGAGAGUUCCAGUGCCUAUAUACUCGCAAGAAGGAUAUGGUAUGGAAUAGCUUAAAGUACAUCUAUGUGCUGGCAGAUUUGUACAACAAGAAGUUGUUCCAGUGUGAGGAGAGAUGCUUGUCAUAAGAAUAUGGAUGGUUGUGUAACAGUGGUGAAGUGUUUGUUGAUCGAGACUAUCAAUUAUUCAUCUGUGCUGGUAGAUUUGUACAUUUGGAAGUUGUUUCAGUGUGGAGAGAGAUGGACACGGUGUAUUGUACGGUAAACCUUGCUCUUUGAUUUCAUUGGUAAAUCUAUUUUAGCUAGUCUACAACUAGGUAAAGCUAGUCUAUAACUAGGUAAAGCUGGAACGUCGCCAUAUGACCUAUACUGUGUCGGAACGUCGUCAUAUGACCUAUACUGUGUUACAACGUCGCCAUAUGACCUAUACUGUGUCGGUGUGACGUAAAGCCCAUUCAAACAAACAAACAAAACCUGCCCUUGUCUGUCCGUUUUGGGAAAUAUUUUUUCUGCCAAUAAAGGUGGGGAGAUGCCAUAUGACUUAAGAACCAACAAAACAAAUGUGAUUUGUUUAGUUAAAAAGACUUUGUUCAACAAAUAUGAUUGGAAUGUUGUUUUGUUAACCCCAGUGAAAUUUCAGUUAAUCUUAAGACCAAGGAGGCAGAUUUGCAAGAAUGGCAUGAAACAUGGUGAUGAUGGAUGGACGUGUGGAUCGUUAAAGCCCAACAGUGACAGAGUAUUGGAGUACUUGACGUGCAUUGUGAAAGUUGAUCGAUACUAUCAAUUCUUCGAGAGUCCCAGUGCCUAUAUACUCGCAAGAAGGAUAUGGUAUGAAAUACAGCUUGGUACACAUCUGUGCUGGUAGAUUUGUACAUUUGGAAGUUGUUUCAGUGUGGAGAGAGAUGGACACGGUGUAUUGUACGUUAAUCUUAAGACCAAGGAGGCAGAUUUGCAAGAAUGGCAUGAAACAUGGUGAUGAUGGAUGGACGUGUGGAUCGUUAAAGCCCAACAGUGACAGAGUAUUGGAGUACUUGACGUGCAUUGUGAAAGUUGAUCGAUACUAUCAAUUCUUCGAGAGUCCCAGUGCCUAUAUACUCGCAAGAAGGAUAUGGUAUGAAAUACAGCUUGGUACACAUCUGUGCUGGUAGAUUUGUACAUUUGGAAGUUGUUUCAGUGUGGAGAGAGAUGGACACGGUGUAUUGUACGGUAAACCUUGCUCUUUGAUUUCAUUGGUAAAUCUAUUUUAGCUAGUCUACAACUAGGUAAAGCUAGUCUAUAACUAGGUAAAGCUGGAACGUCGCCAUAUGACCUAUACUGUGUCGGAACGUCGCCAUAUGACCUAUACUGUGUAUAUGACCUAUACUGUGUCGGUGUGACGUAAAGUCCAUUCAAACAAACAAACAAAACCUGCCCUUGUCUGUCCGUUUUGGGAAAUAUUUUUUCUGCCAAUAAAGGUGGGGAGAUGUCAUAUGACUUAAGAACCAACAAAACAAAUGUGAUUUGUUUAGUUAAAAAGACUUUGUUCAACAUAUAAUAUAUGAUUUGAAUGUUUUUUGUUAACCCCAGUGAAAUUUCAGUUAAUCUUAAGACCAAGGAGGCAGAUUUGCAAGAAUGGCAUGAAACAUGGUGAUGAUGGAUGGACGUGUGGAUCGUUAAAGCCCAACAGUGACAGAGUAUUGGAGUACUUGACGUGCAUUGUGAAAGUUGAUCGAUACUAUCAAUUCUUCGAGAGUCCCAGUGCCUAUAUACUCGCAAGAAGGAUAUGGUAUGAAAUACAGCUUGGUACACAUCUGUGCUGGUAGAUUUGUACAUUUGGAAGUUGUUUCAGUGUGGAGAGAGAUGGACACGGUGUAUUGUACGUUAAUCUUAAGACCAAGGAGGCAGAUUUGCAAGAAUGGCAUGAAACAUGGUGAUGAUGGAUGGACGUGUGGAUCGUUAAAGCCCAACAGUGACAGAGUAUUGGAGUACUUGACGUGCAUUGUGAAAGUUGAUCGAUACUAUCAAUUCUUCGAGAGUCCCAGUGCCUAUAUACUUGCAAGAAGGAUAUGGUAUGAAAUACAGCUUGGUACACAUCUGUGCUGGUAGAUUUGUACAUUUGGAAGUUGUUUCAGUGUGGAGAGAGAUGGACACGGUGUAUUGUACGGUAAACCUUGCUCUUUGAUUUCAUUGGUAAAUCUAUUUUAGCUAGUCUACAACUAGGUAAAGCUAGUCUAUAACUAGGUAAAGCUGGAACGUCGCCAUAUGACCUAUACUGUGUCGGAACGUCGCCAUAUGACCUAUACUGUGUAUAUGACCUAUACUGUGUCGGUGUGACGUAAAGUCCAUUCAAACAAACAAACAAAACCUGCCCUUGUCUGUCCGUUUUGGGAAAUAUUUUUUCUGCCAAUAAAGGUGGGGGAGAUGUCAUAUGACUUAAGAACCAACAAAACAAAUGUGAUUUGUUUAGUUAAAAAGACUUUGUUCAACAUAUAAUAUAUGAUUGGAAUGUUGUUUUGUUAACCCCAGUGAACUUUCAGUUAAUCUUAAGACCAAGGAGGCAGAUUUGCAAGAAUGGCAUGAAACAUGGUGAUGAUGGAUGGACGUGUGGAUCGUUAAAGCCCAACAGUGACAGAGUAUUGGAGUACUUGACGUGCAUUGUGAAAGUUGAUCGAGACUAUCAAUUCUUCGAGAGUCCCAGUGCCUAUAUACUCGCAAGAAGGAUAUGGUAUGGAAUACAGCUUGGUACACAUCUGUGCUGGUAGAUUUGUACAUUUGGAAGUUGUUUCAGUGUGGAGAGAGAUGGACACGGUGUAUUGUACGGUAAACCUUGCUCUUUGAUUUCAUUGGUAAAUCUAUAAAUAUCUAUUUUAGCUAGUCUACAACUAGGUAAAGCUAGUCUAUAACUAGGUAAAGCUGGAACGUCGCCAUAUGACCUAUACUGUGUCGGAACGUCGCCAUAUGACCUAUACUGUGUCGGUGUGACGUAAAGCCCAAUCAAACAAACAAACAAUACCUGCCCUUGUCUGUCCAUUUUGGGGAAUAUUUUUUCUGCCAAUAAAGGUGGAGAGAUGUCAUAUGACUUAAGAAGCACUUUAACAAAUGUGAUUUGUUGACAAAUGAGAUUGGAAUGUUGUUUUGUUAACCCCAGUGAUCUUUCAGUUAAUCUUAAGACCAAUGAAUGGCAUGAAACAUGGUGUUGAUGGAUGGAUGUGUGAUGAGAUUGGAAUGUUGUUUCGUUAAGGCAAGGCAAGUACAGAACAGAAAGGUAAAAUUAUUAAAAAGAUGUUAUAUUGUAUUUAUAAUAGGGGAAUGAUAUUAUGAACAACAUAAUAUGUUAGAUGAAAUUGAAAUUGUGUAUAUGAAAGUUGAGAGUAAACAUUAUUGAAAGUAACAUUGUAAAUUGUGAAAUGAUCCCUGGUGGAUGACAUGAAGUCAUUAAUGAAAACUGGACAUGGAAGUUUACUGCAGUGAAAAUUAGUGAAAAAUGAAAUGGAAAGUAUCUGUUGAAAUAUGAAAGAAAUGAAUUGAAUCAGCAAUGGGAAAAUACGAAAAGUGAAAGUGAAAAUGAAUGAAAAUAAAUUGAAAAAGGAAGGAAUGCAUGAAAAUUUGAAUUUUAAAAAAAAUUGAGAACAAUAAUGUAAAUAAUAUAGAUAUUAUGAAGAGUUGAAUGAAGAAAUUUGAAAGUGAAAAUAUAAAGAUAGUGAAAAAUGGAAAGUAUCUGUUGAAAUAUGAAUGAAAUAUAAAUGAAGAGCACUAACAAAAGGAAAUGUGAAAGUGAAAAAUGAAUGAAAAUAAAUUGAAAAAGGAGGAAUGCAUGGAAAUUUGAAUUUUCAAAAUAUUGAAUCGGCUUCAAAGAAAUGAAAAAGGAGAACAAUAAUAUAGGAAUUUAUGAAUGAAAUUUGAAAGUGAAAUGAGUUCAUAACGAAAUAAAAAAUGAAUGAAUAAUGUAAUGGAAGAUAAUUUGGUGGUGCAAAGAUCAGACAUGUGAAAAUAUAAAUGAAAUAGAUUUGAAACAAUUGGCUUUUCUUGACUGUAGAAAGUCAAUGAUUGUUGAUUGUCUGCUCCUCCCAUUCAUAGUUCUACCAUGAUGUGGAAGUGCAGACAAUGCAGUUAUUCUAAUUGAUUUUUUUUCUAUUUCAGCUCAAUUUUAUAUUGACCUUUGACUUGACCUUAAUCAAUCUGCAAGUCCUUACCAACCUGACCACCUCAUUUGAUGAUCAUAAGCCAUGGCUUUUCCUAGUUGACCAAUCAACUUUUUUAACUACUUGGCAUAA